rnacentral:rRNA from 1 species
UGGGGAAUUUUGGACAAUGGGCGAAAGCCUGAUCCAGCAAUGCCGCGUGUGUGAAGAAGGCCUUCGGGUUGUAAAGCACUUUUGUCCGGAAAGAAAUCCUUGGCUCUAAUACAGUCGGGGGAUGACGGUACCGGAAGAAUAAGCACCGGCUAACUACGUGCCAGCAGCCGCGGUAAUACGUAGGGUGCAAGCGUUAAUCGGAAUUACUGGGCGUAAAGCGUGCGCAGGCGGUUUGCUAAGACCGAUGUGAAAUCCCCGGGCUCAACCUGGGAACUGCAUUGGUGACUGGCAGGCUAGAGUAUGGCAGAGGGGGGUAGAAUUCCACGUGUAGCAGUGAAAUGCGUAGAGAUGUGGAGGAAUACCGAUGGCGAAGGCAGCCCCCUGGGCCAAAUACUGACGCUCAUGCACGAAAGCGUGGGGAGCAAACAGGAUUAGAUACCCUGGUAGUCCACGCCCUAAAACGAUGUCAACUAGUUGUUGGGGAUUCAUUUCCUUAGUAACGUAGCUAACGCGUGAAGUUGACCGCCUGGGGAGUACGGUCGCAAGAUUAAAACUUAAA